rnacentral:rRNA from 1 species
GGGGUUAGGAAAGUUUCGGCGGUUGGGGAUGGACUCGCGGCUUAUCAGCUUGUUGGUGGGGUAGUGGCUUACCAAGGCUUUGACGGGUAGCCGGCCUGAGAGGGUGACCGGCCACAUUGGGACUGAGAUACGGCCCAGACUCCUACGGGAGGCAGCAGUGGGGAAUAUUGCACAAUGGCGGAAGCCUGAUGCAGCAACGCCGCGUGCGGGAUGACGGCCUUCGGGUUGUAAACCGCUUUCGCCUGUGACGAAGCGUGAGUGACGGUAAUGGGUAAAGAAGCACCGGCUAACUACGUG